rnacentral:rRNA from 1 species
UCAGUCAGCGCUGAGAAUAACAGAAACUAACCAGGAUUCCCUUAGUAACGGCGAGUGAACUGGGAUACCAAUAUAUUUAUGCGUCUCUGGCGCAUAUUUUUAGCCCGUCGAUACUAUCCUAGCGUAUUACCGGUUUCGGCCGGUAGCCCAAUACGCGGGAAUUGUAGCAUCGUAAUAAAAUAUACACCAUGCCUGCGUCGCAAACGUAUAUACACGUAUACUCACACACACAUACUCGUACGCGUACACANCCCUUGCAAACACACAGCGCUCCCGCGUUGGAAAGCAAGUCUAUAUCCUCUUUGGAUAUGCCAUAGAGUGUGACAGCCACGUUUGAAACACCCUUACGUACCGUACACACACACAUACGUAAAAAUACGCGCCGUUUCGCAUACGCAUACCGUAUAUAACCUGAGUCGAGUUAUUUGGGACUAUAGCUCUAAUAGUUUGGUUGGUGGUAAUGACACAUCAAAGGCUAAAUAUUGGUUAGGCGAUGCAUUUUACGGAGACCGAUAGCAUACAAGUACCGUAAGGGAACGAUGAAAAGCACCCUAUUAAGUUCACGGUGUCGGCCGCGUACAAUUCGUUGUACAACGGCGCGCCCAACAACUACAGUGGGAGUGAAAGAGAGAGU